CUUAUAACCUAAUGAUUUUUUUUUAAUUCGUAGACAAGUCGCGAGAAAACCGAUCCAUCAUAAGUUCAAUUCAGUCAACCAGAUAAUUUUUUCUUAAUAUUACUAGAAUAUAUAUUUUUUAAUCCAAUCCAAAUACAACCUUCAAAGGUGAUUGCUGCAAGAGAAAAUUAUCAGGGUUCAACUUGCAUAGAGUGCAUAACAGCAUUUUUCGUAUCAGCCCACAUGAGGCAAUUCCACUUGCACUAUUUUGUGUCUCUCUUCAACGCUCGACACUGAUGGCGAUUGAUAUCCUGCGUUCACCUGUCUCCGCCGUCCGAUUCUUUAACGGUGCCGCCACUCGCAGUCGUUGCUGUAGUAGCACCUUCCGCUUCAACCAAAACGCAAAGCAUUACAAAGAGCUUGAAGCCGCUGUUGACGUAGUUCGCAGGGCUUGCCGUCUCUGUCUUAAUGUGAAAUCAUCCUUGUUCUCAACUGAUGAGAAGGUUCUUGAAAAAAAUGACCAGACUCCAGUGACCGUGGCAGAUUUUGGAGUUCAAGCUCUCAUAAGUUUGGAGUUAAAUAAGCUGUUCCCUUCUAUACCUUUGGUGGCCGAGGAGGACUCUGCUUUCUUGCUAUCAAGAAACUUGGCAGAUACUGUUCUUAAUGAAGUAACUGACACACUUAGUUCCACUUGUAAACCAUUGACACAAGAUGAUGUACUCGAAGCAAUUGAUAGAGGGGGCAAGGAUGCUUUUGUAUUUGGAUCAAAGCCGGCCACAUAUUGGGUGCUCAACCCAAUCGAUGGCCCACAUGGUUUUCUAAAGGCUGGCAAAGCCUUAUAUGUGGUUGGUUUGGCUCUUGUGGUUGAAGGAGAGAUUGUUGUUGGUGUUAUGGGCUGCCCUAACUGGGAGGAAGACUUAUCUGAGAAAUCCUCUACUGAGAUUGAGGAGGGUUGGGAUUCUCUUGGUGGAUCAGGAACUGUAAUGAUUGCUCAUAACGGCUGAGGAACUUGGAUGAAAAGUUUGAAUAGCCAACUCAAAUCACCUUGUGUGUGGACCAGAUGUUUUGUUGAUGGGUCUGACAUAAUACAUAAAGCAAGCUUUUGUAUUCCAGAUAGUCAAACAUGGGAAUCACUGCCACUGUAUUCCUUAUCUAAUGCCCCAAGCAAUGCUGGCAAUGUAGGGAGCAAUCAAAUUCUUCUUUUGGGAGCAUGUUGAGGAAGUUUAUGCAAGUAUUUGAUGGUUGCCUCUGGUAGAGCAUCUAUUUUCAUUCUCUGAGCAAACGAGAAGACUAUUAUAGAGGUAUGGGACCAUGCUGUUGGCAUUAUAUGCGUUCAUGAAGCUGGUGGAAAGGUAACAGACUGGCAAGGCAGCGACAUAGAUCUUGCAGUGGGUCAUGUUGGCCGGCGGAUUAUAUUUCCCUAUGGCGGUGUCCUUGUUACCAACAGCAAUUUACAUGAUAAGAUUUUGCAGAUUAUCGAUCAGACUUCAAGAGUUUGAUGUUUUGUGGAAUUGCUCAUCCUCAUUAUUUUGUGAAAUGAUUUGUAUUUUGAUUAAUUUUGUUGAACCUUUGUCACAUAUAUUCUUAAAUUUUCAUUUAUAUGAAAUAUAAUUGAUAUCCACUAUUUUCUAGCAACA